UUUUUUCAAUUUCCGUUUUUUUUCUCAUUUAUUUUCCCCCAAACCAAUGCCAUCCCCUUUUCUCCCCCCUCAACUCUUCAAGGAUCGCAGUCCCCCUCGCGAUUUCCCUCACCUCUUCCGCUCCGAUCAAGUCCGGUCUCUUUCGAUUCCUUGCGAUCCUCGAUUCCGAAGCCCGGCUAGGGUUGGAAUCGUGUAGCGCGUCUCAGAUCGAUGCAGUCAUCUUCGCCGCCAACCCACCCGGUGAUGAUGUGGGCUCCGCCCCCGCCACGGCGGUGAUUGGCGAAGGGCACGGCGGAGGCGGAGGAAGGCGACCGAUGAAGCAGAGGCUGCUGGUGGUGGCGAACAGGUUGCCGGUGUCGGCGGUCAGAAGGGGGGAGGAAUCUUGGUCGCUUGAUAUCAGCGCGGGCGGCCUUGUCAGCGCUCUGCUUGGUGAGAGCUUGAGCUUUAGUCUUAUCUCCACUGCAUGGUUGCUUCGUCGUCAUGUUAGUUUAGAAUAGGGAAUUUAAUCAAGUUUUUGGAGUUAAAAAUGGUGCAAUGAUGGGAGUUUUGUUGCAUUAGUUCGUGGGUGGAGGAGGUGGAUGCUAAGUUUUAUUGCAUGGUUGCUUGUUGCUAUAAUGUUUUAUAUAUGAUGUAUAUGAGGGCUCAGAUCUGAGGUGCUGGAGCUCAUGAUACAUUGCACGAGGGUUUCAAUAAUCGAAGGGUAGCUGGAGCGAGAUUAGAAAUGAGGAAGACUGUACCUACCAGAUUAGAUUAAUGCUUCACAAAGAAGUCCUUACCAGAUUACUUUAUUGUGUCCGAUAUUGAUUGGAGGAGUAGAAAGCUAUCAAGGAUCGAACGACCUUUCUGUUUCUUUUCUUUCCCUCCACUAUGCUACUAUUAAGGUAUUGGAUUUGGAAUGGAUGCUUCCCAGCAUUGGUAGUUCAGCUCUACCAGGCAUGGCUAUUAUUUCUCUAUACAAGUUUAGCUUUGCGAGAGAACAUACUCAGAGUAAAUGGAAGUUAUAUUCGCCCUUGUUAGUAAUCAUCCUUCCAUCUUUUUGACAUUGGUUAAACUUACAGUCAAGGGAGCAUGUCAGGGUCAUUGCUGAUUUUAGUUUAGGCUAAAUAGAUAUAAAAUCUGUCACCAAAUGUUACUCAGGAUAAUAUUUGCUAUCUCUGAUUGAGGUAAACUUAAUGUACCUAUUUAGUGCUUUUUGUAGGGAAGAUUGUUUCUCUAUCAGUACCUACAAGCAAUACAACUACCACCUUUAUUGUGUUCAUAGUGAUUUAAUUUUGCUUAUUAUAUUGAUGCAGAAUUCAAGUUAACAAUAUGGUUAACUUGAUAUUAAAAUGCAUCUGUUCAAGGGUAUAUUGAAUUGGUACAUCUGGUUUAGGAUUUUAGUGGGUUCAGUUCACUUAGCGCAGCGUGAAACCUGGAGUGGCAAUGAGGGGGCAUCCACAUGAUUUGAUAUAAGUGGAUAUUCCGUCAUUAUUGUGCUAUGUUGAUGGCUCUUGUGAAUCUCACAUGGGAGAUAAAAGGGCAACCUGAUUGUGCCAACAAGCAUGUAGUUAAUUUCUUAUUUAUAUAUUAAUUUGAUAAUUAUUAUAUCCAAUCUAACACGAAUUUUGCGCAGAAAGGGGUUGAAUUGUUUCUUGUAUGGGCGGUCAUGCAA